rnacentral:rRNA from 1 species
UUCCUACGGGGCGCAGCAGUGGGGAAUAUGGUAAAAUGGGGGAAACACUGAUGCAGCGACGCCGCGUGAAGGAAGAAGUAUUUCGGUAUGUAAACUUCUAUCAGCAGGGAAGAAAAUGACGGUACCUGACUAAGAAGCCCCGGCUAACUACGUGCCAGCAGCCGCGGUAAUACGUAGGGGGCAAGCGUUAUCCGGAUUUACUGGGUGUAAAGGGAGCGUAGGCGGUGCAGCAAGUCAGAAGUGAAAGCCAGGGGCUCAACUCCGGGACUGCUUUUGAAACUGUUGAACUAGAUUGCAGGAGAGGG